AACUAUUCUUUUCCAUCCCGCUUAAUAGUCUGGUCAUAUAAGCGUAUUACCUCCUUUUUCCAGUUCUCUUCUUCCUCUCUCUUUCCCUACUUGGUAGGAGUAAUUUUUUAAAAAAUUCUAUAUCUCUUUGAUGGUGAGUGUUUCUACAAUUUUCUUCGUUCAUUGCACUUUUUUGGAUAUAUGUUAGUUUCAGCUCUCAGUUCUGAGGGAUCAGCUGAAAUAACCAAUGCCCUAAGUGAUGAUUCAGGUGUACUUAAUUUGUGAUUGUAGGUUUCCAGCCUUCAUAGGAUUGCUGGCACCAUGGAAAGUUAGUCAACUUCGCUCCACAAAAUAGUAGUAUUUGUCAGAUCCAUCACAAUUGAUCUUUGUUAGGAUCAGCAAUAUGAGAUGAUUAUAUAAUAAGCUUGCAGAGAGUCUUAGUCUCAAUUUUAUGCAGUGUAAUGUCUAUGUACGGUAUUUAAGCCUGAAAUUAUCAGUAAUCUUUAGCAGCUUGAAAAUCACAAUGAAGAGAACUUGGUUAAAAAUGUUCCUAUAAGUAACUAUGCAAAUUGAUUUAUAGUUUAUCAAUUAGUUCAACUUCUACAAUCAAUGCAAGAAAAUUAGGCAGUCGAAUGAGAUGCUUAGCAACAAAUUACAGUAGCUUUUCUAUAAGGGCCUUUAUUGCUUAUCUGCGAAUACACUUAGGAUCACAAAUUUAUAAUCAGUUCCACAAACGAGCCAUAAAUAUUUAUGUUACCUUCUUGAAAAAAAGGAGGUAUGAAGAUUUUCCAUGACUUCAUAUUUCAGGUUAGUUCUUGACAUAGUCUAAUGAAAGAUGGUAACAUCGUAGCCUUCCAGUUGUGAGAGUGCACAAAAGAUUAAGGACGACCAAAUCUCUCCCUCCCUCCCUCCCUCUCUCCGUGGAUAUUUACUUAGUUUCUCCCAUGUGAACUCUUUCCUACAUGCUAUCUGGUUUGGUAUCGUCAAAAAAUAUACACAAUAAACAAUUAAACAUCACAGUUAGUAUGGUAGGAUAGAUUAUCAAACAUUAUAGUGAAUAUAGCUUGUAAUAUUUAUGUACAUUAACCAAUAUUGUAGGGAUAACUUUCAAAGGAGAUACUUAAAAUGAAUUUAUUCUGCAAAACUUUGCAUUUGAACUUGUGUAUAGGUGUUUUGUGCAUCUGUAAGUUUUUAAGUUGGUAUGACAUCAAAUGACAAUGGAUUGUACAACUAUGAGCUCGUAUUUUCUACUGCCCUUAUGCUAAGUAUAGUGAAUUUAAUGCUAAAAACCUAUUCCCCUGAUUUCAAACACAUACUUUUCUGGAAAGCUAAAGAACGAUAAUCCUGUUGACAAGAACGUCGCAGCAUUUUUCAUGAGUUGAUGGAGUAAUUGCUCUCGUGACGGGAGAUUCUUUUUUCGUUUCUACACAAGGUUAGAAUGUUAAAUUUGUUGUUUGUCUAAACAAGAUUGAUAGUUUUUCGACUAACAAGCUCUCCACGGAAUAGGCAACUUGAGAGACUUUUUCUGUUAUAUCCUUUUACACUUGAAAUCUUUUCUAUUGAUUAUUUAUAGUUAGUGUAUAUUCUUUUCAGUUAGAGAAAUGAAAGCUUUUCUAUUGAUUAUUUUAUAGUUAGUAUAUAUUCUUUUUUGUUAGAGGAAUAAUGUACUGCGGGAGCUUUAACGUUUUAAGCAUUUCUUGGCAUUACUACAGAAGGAGGUAACGAAAUAUUUUUCUAAGCUUUUUUUCUGUCAAAAUUUUGCUUAGAGGUCGAAACCUUAAAUGUUCUACCUUAUCAAAGAUGAAACCUUGAAUGUUUCUGUUGGAGAUUUACAGAAGAUUUCUGUAGUAAGACAUGACCUAUCUGUGCAUGAAUAAUUUUCUUUUUGUAUGAUGUAUGUGCUUGACAUGAAUUGACAUUUGAAUUUGUUCAAGGCAUGAGCUAUGGUCUAAAAGUAACAAUUUGAGCAAAAAACAGAAUCCUUAUAAGUGAUAAUUACAUGUAACCAGUUGCUUAUACUAUUCAAUAUUUGUGGUUGUGGACGUUAGAGUUCUAUGGAUGUAAAACUCCUUAAGGUGAGAAAGCUUAUUGAAUAUUGUUCAAUUUAGCACUAACGAAUUUCCUGUUGGCUUACUCAGUACUAUACAUACAUGUCAAGUAUCACCUGAUUUGUCAUAUUACAAUUAUGAGUUAAUGACACUUGGUUCUGUUACAUGAUAACAUGAUAUGAAUGAAAGGAAAAUAAGUUCAAUUUUUCAUAUUAACUGUAUUUCCAUGUUAUGUUUAAGAGAUUACAGAGGAUGUCUCUAUGAUGCCACAUAAAGUUAAAACUUACAGUUUUCUCUCUUUGAUGUCUGGGAUAGGAUUUUGUCGUUAAAUUUCCUUUGUAGGAAAGCACUAUUCUUUGACUAUCUAUUUUGCAUUUAGCAGAGUUGUUUGAAGGCUACAAUCAAAUUGUGGCUGAAAGGAAAUUCACAUAUGAACCUAUUGGCCAGUAUUAUGGGAAUCAGAAGCGAAGACGUAUUGUGAGCUUUGUGGUCAAAUAAGUUUGUGGAGAAACUUGGAGAAAAAAAGUUACAGGAAGAUUGAUUCUUCUGUAUUCAAAUGGACUCAAUGAUUUGGUAAAAUCUAUUUCCUUCUUAACAUGUGUAACAACCUCUCUCUCCGUAUUGCAUGUACCGAUGAGUUGAAGAACUAGAAGUGGAAAAGAUUAAGAGGUUUAUUAAUUUGUGUUCGGAAAGUGAUAAUUAUGUUGGCCAGUUUAACAUUGUUAUUAAUCUUAGAUACUAAUUGUUUUUUAUGUUUAAUGAAACAUACAAAGAAUGAGCUUGCACUAAAUUAUAAUCAUUCAAGAAUAGUUAUUCCUCCGACUGCUCCUUGUGAUGCAGCAAACCAUUGCGGCUAAAUUGCCAAAUGCAUUAGACACUCUUAAAGCUCGAGACUCUAGAAUCCUGAGGACAUGGUUAUGUGUUCCUUCUGAGCAAAGUUCACGAGUACAACAUGAUAGAAAUAAUAGAACUAUAGAAGAAAGAUGAAUAUUCUUGCUUGGUUAAGAAGAGUGAGUUAACUGAGAAAUUUUUUAAUUUUAAUUUCUAUAAGAAGCGUUGUAUAUGCCAUCGCCACCAUAGUUUAAAAGAAACUAAAUACCUAACAAGUAGGCAUGUGCAUAAACUAAAUACCUAAUAUGUCGGCCCGUGCUAUGCACGGGCAUCACCUCUCUAGUUACUAAUAUAUAGAAACGGGACUUUGGUGGGACGAACAGGGGACAAACACAGGUAUACCUGAAAUUUAGUUUUAAAUUAGGGUUAAAUUAGUAAUUACGGUCAUUUCUAUAGAAACACAUGUGUUCCCUUUGUCCAUCCGUAUUCAUCUAUGUGUAGAACCCUAUUUUCUCUCAUUUUUUAUUUCAUUGUUCCUCUAUCCCAGUUUCUCAGUCUUCACUCUUUCAGCGAGGCUCUUCGCUUUGCGGUUUUUUUCUGCAAGCUACUAUUAAUUUGAGCAAACCAUGUGUACUGCACUUAUAUUCAACUAUAGUCUAUAGUAGUACUUCACAUCUUAGAAUUUCUCUCUCAUUUAGAAGACCAUCUCUGUUUGUGAGUAUCUUAACUUUCUUAUACUCUUUUCUGUUCUUCCAUCUUUUAAAUUGUAAAUUUUUUUGAUUGAUUGGUUUGUAGUUUCUUAUGUAGCUCUAUUGUACUUGUGAAUUUUGGUAGAUUCUACUUUAUUCUCCUUCUUUCUUUGUUGCACCCAUUUCUUGGUGAUGUGAUUUUGAUAGAUCCAGUUUGGUUUUCUUCCUAUCUUAGAUUUUUCUGUUAAAUUUCUUACAUGCAUGUUAGUAAUUUGUAUUUUGCUCACGAUUUUUCAAAAUAGAUACUUAGUGUAUAUGUUAGAAUACAUAUUUAUUUCUGAUUUAUAGCUAAGAAAUUAGCAAAUUUUGGAGUGAGGCGGCUUUUAAGGGGAGUAGUCCUUGUCAAUGACUACUAUUUUUAGGUGCUACAUUAUUUCAAUUUCGGCUUUAUUCUGGAGAAAUUUAACUCCUGCUAUCAGCUCCUAUAAAAAUAACCACGAAAUAUGUUAGAUGAUUAUUUUUUAUCUUUUAAGGGAAUUUGAAACAACAGACAUAGUUUAGUCACUCCUACCGGUUCUGAAUAUGAGAGGACUCUUUUUUGGUCCACAUAAGAGAUACUACUACAUGAAUAGAACAAAUGUUAGAUAAGUGGAUCUGUUGAUGCUAUGCGAUUGAGAAUUUGUUGGUAAAGUUCAUGAGAUAUUUGUGCUUCGACUAACUCCAGUUCAAGGAAGAAUACAGUGUAGUUUGCAAUGACAAUAAACUUAGACUUGAUAUUUAAGGUAGGCUUUCUAUGACUUAAAUAUGUAUGUCAGUUUUUUCUAAUUCUAAAUUAUUCUAUGUAAAAUAUAAUUUAUUGUAAACUAAAGAAAUCAUUUUAUUGGAAAUAUUUUUUAUUGUCGUUUGUCUUAUUUAUAUGUGCAACAUGUAGACUGAUAUAACAAUCAUGGUGUCAAGUUAAUGGUUAUUAUUGUUCAGGCAGAAAUCUUGAAUCCAAUAAUAUAUAUUAAAAAACUAUUAGAAGAAAGCUAAGUCAGUUGCUAAUAUUGAAUCUAGAAGUAAAGUAUUUUCUAUAUUUUUUAUUUCAAUACUAAAGUUGCAGCCUUUAUCCAAGAACAAUUGCUCAAUACAAAUACAACGCCAAAAUCAGUCACUACCCAUUAUCAGCACACAAAACAGAACUUUGAAGUUCUUUAUUCAAGAAAAAAAAACAUAUUCCCUGAUACAAAAGUGCAAGGUGAGCCUUUUAACACCACUGAUUGUUGUAGAUGUUAUCUGUUUUGUAGAAAUUCCCUGAAAUUGCAUGCAUGCCAAUUGUAGCUAUAUGAAAAUUUCUCUUUUAAUUUGCAGCAUUCUGUCUUUAAAUGUUACUUUUUUCCUGCACUAUGUUCAAUUGCUUUUCUGGAAUUUAUAGAGAAGUAAAAUUUGAAAAGUAGCAUGGCCUUUUUUCUGUUGCCAAAAUGAAAAAUGAUUAUGCUCCUCUAAGAAAGAGAUUGAUGCUCCUCUAACUGAUGGACAGGUGCCACUGAAAUCUAUCAUUCAAAAGAGGUAUAUUUUUUCUAUUUGUUACAUUAAGUUUAUUUGAAUUUGAUUGUGCAGCUAAUAUUAAAAUCGUGGAGCCUAAAUUUGUGUUUGAAGAUCAAACUGUUAAAAAUAACCAACUCUUGGGGUAGUUAAGCAUAUUGAAGUGGAAGUGCAGAUACACCUUGCACUUUUAAGUUUUUACUAAGAAAGGUAGUAGUGAUCAAAUACAAUUGUGGUCUUUAUUUUCAUGAUCAAUACAAUUGUUACCAAGUAUAAUAAAAGGUCUCACCUUACUUGAGUCUUUGAAUAUGGUGAACCAACUACUACUACUACUACUACAACAUCUGGUCUUUAGAUCUUUAGUGUGUUUAAUUUGGUGAUUGGAUUAUAAUUGAGGGUAGAUGUUGGCUUCAUGGAGCUCAGACCUUCUGAAAUUGCUGAAAUUGCAGCAACACUGGCAAUGUCUAUUUAGUCGUCCAGGGAAAAGCGAGCAAAAAAUAUAUUGAAAGGUUAAUGCAAUAACCUUACUUCCUCAUACAAGUACAAACAGUAAUUUUCUUUAGUCUUGAUUCUUGAGGUAUUGGUAUAUUCUCUGAUUUAUUUUUGGAGUCUCUGUCCUACAAUAAUGUGGUAGCAUGAAGCUAGUUUUGAACGUAAUAAGUUGGUUUUCUCUGAGACUAUCUUCUUUUAACUAUGUCUUAUAGCUCUUUAUUGGCUCUUUUUUGAUGGACUAUCUACAUUGAGCAUGUGCAUGUGAGACCCUGUCCUGUGAUUUGAUUUUAUGAAAUAUUGAUAAAUCUGACUCUCCCAAGUAGUGCUUUUUUCAAGAAAAGGAGAUUAAACUGAAAUGGACUUAAAUCUGAGGAUAUAAACAGAGUGAGACCGUAUUUCGAAAGUAAAUGAGAAAAAAAGCAUAAAGAAA